AUGAGGAGCAGACAACUAAAUGUUUUGCCAUGUGUCAAUCCUUGCCCAGGUCUAGAGCUCACUCUACUAAUGUAAGUGCACUAGGCUGACUAUCCAAAUAAAGUGUGGAUUAAAGUAAUUUCUUACCCAUAGUUGAUUUUUUACAGUGAGGAGCAGACAACUAAAUGUUUUGCCAUGUUGGUUUAAAUCCUGUAAUUCUAUCUUUGUAGUCCAUGGAUUAAACUCAAUCAGAACAUUUCUGUAUAGUUCUUUCCUGUCCACACCACUGAACCCACAAUGGCCUUCGUGGUCUCUGCUGUCAGUCAUAUGCACUCAUUUUCUUCAGCAGUAGCUGGUUAGCAAGGUCUAGAGCUCGCCCUACUAAUGUGAAUGCACUAGGUGUGUUUAAUUAGAUAUAUACCACAGGGAGGCAGUGUAAACAUGUGACUGAAUCAUUUAAAGCCCUGCCCUGUGAUUGAGGGUGAGAUCACAAGAGCGUAGCUGAGAUACAGUCACUUUAGGCUGGAGACACCUACAGAGAGAACAUUAUAAACCUUUUGAAAUGGAUUAUUUUAACCAAUUUACCAUGCUACUCUGGGUUAGGGUGUUAAUGUUCCUGACCGCAAACUGUGCCUGUAAGUUGUUUUUGUUUAAAAUUACAUUAUCACAAUGUUUUUAAGUAUACACUCCCACAUUUGUAGGAGGUUGGAGGAAAGUAUACAUCUAUAUUCUCCUCUUUCUUUAGUGGUUGGAGCAGAAGAUGCUGUCAACCAAACAGUUUAUAUGUAUAUGUAGGGAUGUUAGUGGUAGAGUGGUUAGCAUUACGUUACCUUCUGAGCGGUUGACCUGGGUUUGAUUUUUGGCCACUGUAGAAUGCCUUUAUAUAUCGCUUUGGACAAAAGUGUCUGCUAUAUACCUGACCUUUACAUAGUCUGAAUUUGCAAAUGUAGGACUGCACUGUCAGAUAUGCACCACAGGGAGGCAGUGUAAAUAUGUAUCUCAGUCACUGUGACUGAGUGUGACAACACACAUGUGAGUUUGACUGAGACACAGUCACUUCAGACUGGAGACAAGGCAGGGGAACAUCAUAAGCAUUUAGGAGUGCAGAAUUACAGCUCACUAACCAUGGCACUGGGGGCUAAGACUUUCAUUUUCCUUGCUGCAAAUUUUGCUAUGGUUGCAGGAGAAGAUGCUGUUGAUCAGUCCGAUGGAGUUCUGAGUGCCUUUGAGGGAGAUGAAGUGACCAUCGCAUGUCAUUAUGAAACUUCUGACACAUCAGCUUCCCUUCUCUGGUACAAGCAAACAGCAAAUGGCUUCCCUGAGUUCAUGCUGAUAACCUUUACCUAUCGAGAUGGGCAGACAGAGGAAAAGUUCAAGGAGAGAUUUCACUCCAAAGUAAACUCAACUUCAAAAACUGUUCCUCUGAUCAUCCAGAAUCUACAAGUGUCUGACUCUGCUGUGUACUACUGUGCUCUGCAGCCCACAGUGACAGCUGCACACUUAACACUCAUACAAAAACGACAUGGAUAGCUUUCAACAUAUGAACCCACAUACUUUUCUACAUAACCCCUGGUGACAUUGGGGGGGAAAUAUUA